CAAUAGCGUAUAUUAAAGUUGUUGCAGUUAAAAAGCUCGUAGUUGGAUUUCUGGUAGGAGUGACCGUUCCGAACUUGAUUGUUCGUGUAUUGUGUUUUCUCCAGCCAUCCUUGUGGAGAACUUUUCUUGCAUUAAUUUGUAGGGAUUGGGACCCGCAUCGUUUACUGUGAAAAAAUUAGAGUGUUUAAAGCAGGCAAUCGCUUGAAUACAUUAGCAUGGAAUAAUAAGAUAGGACUUUGGUACUAUUUUGUUGGUUUGCAUACCAAAUUAAUGAUCAACAGGAACAGUUUGAGGAUAUUCGUAUGAACAUGUCAGAGGUGAAAUUCUUGGAUUUUGAUCAGACGAACUACUACGAAAGCAUUUAUCAAGGAUGUUUUCAUUAA
rnacentral:rRNA from 1 species